GUGCUUAACACAUGCAAGUCGAGUGCGCAGUUUCCUGUAGCAAUACAGGGGAUGGGCGCACGGCGCACGGGUGCGUAACACGUGGGCAAUCUGCCCUCGGAUGGGGGAUAACCCCGCGAAAGCGGGGCUAAUACCGCAUGACAUUCCGGAGACUCCGGUCUCUGGAUUCAAAGCCCGCAAGGGCGUCUGAGGAGGAGCCCGCGCCCGAUUAGCUUGUUGGCGAGGUAACGGCUCACCAAGGCAAUGAUCGGUAGCCGGUCUGAGAGGAUGGCCGGCCACACUGGAACUGAGACACGGUCCAG
rnacentral:rRNA from 1 species